CACAUUUGUAAGAAUUAUGUGAGCAUUCCUUUGGAUGGGAUAAAAUCCGUAAUCAACUAUAAUAGGAAGAGUUUGGAGUGAACAUUUUUAAAGAGAAAAGUUUAACCUUUCUACAUUGCUCAUCAUAGGGAUGGUGCCAAUGGGGAGGCUAGUGGUAGUACCCGGCACUAUUUGACCCAACUAUUCGGUGUAGGGUAUAUUAGGGACGGCACAAGAGGGAGGCUAGUGGUAGUACCUCGUGCCCCUUCCAACUCCACCGGAUAGGGAGCAAAUAGAAUAUAGAGCAUAGAAAAGUAAAACCAAAAAACAAAUGAAGAUAAUCAAAAUGUUCAUUGA
rnacentral:lncRNA from 1 species